AGUUGAUCUCGCUGACCCCCGCACUUGAAUUAUUAAGCAAAAGUCCAGCUUGAGUUGACCUCGCUGGUAACUCUUGGAUUAAAAGAGCUGUACAGGAGAUUAGCUCUCAUAUAUUUAUUGAUGUGAUUCACUGGGUGUGUGAGUAGCUCCAAAUUAAGUUUUCGUGCAAAUAUUGAAUGAAUUAUUAUUAUAUGUGAUGGAUGUGUAUUUCAUGGUAGGAU
rnacentral:misc_RNA from 1 species